rnacentral:rRNA from 1 species
AGAGUUUGAUCAUGGCUCAGAUUGAACGCUGGCGGCAGGCUUAACACAUGCAAGUCGAACGGUAACAUGAAGAAGCUUGCUUCUUUGAUGACGAGUGGCGGACGGGUGAGUAAUGCUUGGGAAUCUAGCUUAUGGAGGGGGAUAACUACGGGAAACUGUAGCUAAUACCGCGUAGAAUCGAGAGAUGAAAGUGUGGGACCUUCGGGCCACAUGCCAUAGGAUGAGCCCAAGUGGGAUUAGGUAGUUGGUGAGGUAAAGGCUCACCAAGCCGACGAUCUCUAGCUGGUCUGAGAGGAUGACCAGCCACACUGGGACUGAGACACGGCCCAGACUCCUACGGGAGGCAGCAGUGGGGAAUUUUGGACAAUGGGCGAAAGCCUGAUCCAGCAAUGCCGCGUGUGUGAUGAAGGCCUUCGGGUUGUAAAGCACUUUUGGCGGGAACGAAAAGGACUGUGCCAAUACCACGGUUCGAUGACGGUACCCGCAGAAUAAGCACCGGCUAACUACGUGCCAGCAGCCGCGGUAAUACGUAGGGUGCGAGCGUUAAUCGGAAUUACUGGGCGUAAAGCGGGCGCAGACGGUUACUUAAGCAGGAUGUGAAAUCCCCGGGCUCAACCUGGGAACUGCGUUCUGAACUGGGUGACUAGAGUGUGUCAGAGGGAGGUAGAAUUCCACGUGUAGCAGUGAAAUGCGUAGAGAUGUGGAGGAAUACCGAUGGCGAAGGCAGCCUCCUGGGAUAACACUGACGUUCAUGCCCGAAAGCGUGGGUAGCAAACAGGAUUAGAUACCCUGGUAGUCCACGCCCUAAACGAUGUCGAUUAGCUGUUGGGCAGCAUGACUGCUUAGUAGCGAAGCUAACGCGUGAAAUCGACCGCCUGGGGAGUACGGUCGCAAGAUUAAAACUCAAAGGAAUUGACGGGGACCCGCACAAGCGGUGGAUGAUGUGGAUUAAUUCGAUGCAACGCGAAGAACCUUACCUGGUCUUGACAUGUACGGAAUCCUCCAGAGACGGAGGAGUGCCUUCGGGAGCCGUAACACAGGUGCUGCAUGGCU